rnacentral:piRNA from 1 species
CAGGAGUUUAGAGUUGUGCUCCUUCUCUGC